AUGUACAUUCCUACAACAUAGCAUUAAUUCACUAGAUCCCAUUAGAAAUCCGCAGUUAAGCAUGCUUAGGCUAGAGUAGUACUCAAAUGGGUGAUCGCCCAAGAAUUCCUAGUGUUUUACAUG
rnacentral:rRNA from 1 species